rnacentral:rRNA from 1 species
UACGGAGGGUGCAAGCGUUAUCCGGAUUCACUGGGUUUAAAGGGUGCGUAGGUGGGCAGGUAAGUCAGUGGUGAAAUCUCCGGGCUUAACUCGGAAACUGCCAUUGAUACUAUCUGUCUUGAAUACCGUGGAGGUUAGCGGAAUAUGUCAUGUAGCGGUGAAAUGCUUAGAUAUGACAUAGAACACCAAUUGCGAAGGCAGCUGGCUACACGAAUAUUGACACUGAGGCACGAAAGCGUGGGGAUCAAACAGG